ACCUGCGGAGGGAUCAUUGCUGGAACGCGCCCCAGGCGCACCCAGAAACCCUUUGUGAACUUAUACCUUUUGUUGCCUCGGCGCAUGCUGGCCUCUAGUAGGCCCCUCACCCCGGUGAGGAGAAGGCACGCCGGCGGCCAAGUUAACUCUUGUUUUUACACUGAAACUCUGAGAAAAAACACAAAUGAAUCAAAACUUUCAACAACGGAUCUCUUGGUUCUGGCAUCGAUGAAGAACGCAGCGAAAUGCGAUAAGUAAUGUGAAUUGCAGAAUUCAGUGAAUCAUCGAAUCUUUGAACGCACAUUGCGCCCUCUGGUAUUCCGGAGGGCAUGCCUGUUCGAGCGUCAUUUCAACCCUCAAGCAUUGCUUGGUGUUGGGGCACUGCCUGUAAAAGGGCAGGCCCUGAAAUCUAGUGGCGAGCUCGCCAGGACCCCGAGCGUAGUAGUUAAACCCUCGCUUUGGAAGGCCCUGGCGGUGCCCUGCCGUUAAACCCCCAACUUUUGAAAAUUUGACCUCGGAUCAGGUAGGAAUACCCGCUGAACUUAAGCAUAUCAAUAAGCGGAGGAA
rnacentral:rRNA from 1 species